GCAGAAACAAGCUAACAUGUUGAACUUGUUAGCAACCUGUUGCUCACCUGCUUCCAGCAGUGAAGGAGCAACAUUUCAUUUGGAGUCGUGUUUGUUUCACCUGAUGAAUGGAUUUCAAAGAGCCAGCCAGGUUGCUGUGGUUACAAAAAGGACGUCUAGGCCCACAGCUUUGCACAGGAUUCCUUCGGUGUUCCUGGUUCAGCAGCAGAAUCCUACACAGGACUGAUGACACCAUGACAGGAGAGAGGAAACGUUACCU